rnacentral:rRNA from 1 species
UACGGGGGGGGUAAGCGUUGUUCGGAAUUACUGGGCGUAAAGGGCUCGUAGGCGGCCAACUAAGUCGGACGUGAAAUCCCUCAGCUUAACUGGGGAACUGCGUCCGAUACUGGAUGGCUUGGAUUUGGGAGAGGGAUGCGGAAUUCCAGGUGUAGCGGUGAAAUGCGUAGAUAUCUGGAGGAACACCUGCGGCGAAGGCGGGUUGCUGGGCUGACACUGACGCUGAUGCGCGAAAGCUAGGGGAGCGAACGGG